AUUGAACGCUGGCGGCAUGCUUUACACAUGCAAGUCGAACGGUAACAGGCCGCAAGGUGCUGACGAGUGGCGAAUGGGUGAGUAAUGCAUCGGAACGUGCCCAGUCGUGGGGGAUAACGCAGCGAAAGCUGCGCUAAUACCGCAUACGAUCUAUGGAUGAAAGCGGGGGACCGUAAGGCCUCGCGCGAUUGGAGCGGCCGAUGUCAGAUUAGGUAGUUGGUGGGAUAAAAGCUUACCAAGCCGACGAUCUGUAGCUGGUCUGAGAGGACGACCAGCCACACUGGGACUGAGACACGGCCCAGACUCCUACGGGAGGCAGCAGUGGGGAAUUUUGGACAAUGGGCGCAAGCCUGAUCCAGCCAUGCCGCGUGCAGGAUGAAGGCCUUCGGGUCGUAAACUGCUUUUGUACGGAACGAAAAGACUCUGGUUAAUACCUGGGGUCCAUGACGGUACCGUAAGAAUAAGCACCGGCUAACUACGUGCCAGCAGCCGCCGUAACAC
rnacentral:rRNA from 1 species